rnacentral:tRNA from 1 species
GAGAAAUUAUUUUAAUUAAAAUAUGAAUCUGUCAGAUUCAAGUUAUCACAGGAUAUUUCUUU